GAGAACAUGUUGUUUUCCUUGAAGUACUUGUUUCUUCCGUAAUUUCAUAUCUAAUCUCCCAGCUUCACACAUAACAGAUUUGCUUGACAAUGUCCUAAAGGAUGGGGACAGUCUUGGCUUUCACAUGAGAAGAGCUAAUUAGAACAACUGAUUUUACUUUGGGAGAAACCAAGUUUCCAGCAUGCAUCUAGUGAUAAAUUAUGAAAGCUUUCCUCAGUACUCCUGCCCUAUGAUCCUUCCCUCACUUCAUUAAGCCUGCUGCAUCUUGCAUGGAUGGAGGUCACCGAUGGCAGAGCAGCUUCUUGGAUGAAUUGCAGGGUCUCCCAACUCUUCAAGCAGCAUCCUCUGUGCUCCCACUCCUGUGCUCAUCUCUACUCCUGAACUACAGUGCCAUCUUGUCAUUUGUCUGUUUCAAUGUCUGUUUCUCCAACUGGACAGUAAACCCUUGGAAAAGAAGAACCAAUCUUAUUUAAAUUUGGUAUCCUCAGCAACCAGGACAGUGCCUGGUACUUUCCAGGUCCUCAUUAAAUGUUUUUUGGAUGGAUGGAUGAAUCAAUAAAAGAAAAACUCCAAAUGAAACAGUUGUGGAAACUAAACAGACUU
rnacentral:lncRNA from 10 species